GACAUAAAUGGCUUAAUCAUGGCCACGAACGAAUGCUAUCUAGUUGUUUGACACAUGCAAGUUAAUGUAAAACUGCUUUAUUUCUAGAGCAGACACAUAGCGUAUUGGAGAGUAUAAAUUAGAAUGCUAACUCUAGAUAACCUUAUAAGUUAUAAUUAUCAUUUGAUACAAAGGAUCUUAUCUGUCUAGAGAUGCUUUUAAUCCACAGCAGUUAGUUGGUGAGGUAAUGGCUUACCAAGACAAUGACUUGUAGGUAAGGCUGAAAGUCUCAAUAUCCUCAGUGGAGAAUGAAAAGUCCCACAACAUCAUUUGAUGUGCAGCAGUGAAGAAUCAUCGUCAAUGAUCGAAAGAUUGAACGUGCAAACUAGAAUUCUAUUAAGCAUAAGUUUAUAGAAUGUAAUUUAACAGAAUAGUGAUUAGUUAUUUUACUAGUGGAAACCAAUUUCGGUGCCAGAAGUUUCGGUUAGACCGAUUCCGCAAGCAUUGUUCGUUAUGAAUUGGCGUAAAGGGUACGUAGAUUGUUGACUUGCAUACUGAUUCCUUGUUUUUACUCCUUUAUUUUAUUCGCCCAGCCGAGCUGGGCGCUUAUUUUCUAACUAAAAAUUAAAAAAAAUAAAAUAAAGGCCAAAACCAGAGAGACAGAUGAAGGUUAACUAGAAUCCGAUAGAAGUAAUCAGAAUUUCAAAAGUAGCGCUGAUAUGCUUUGAUAUUUGAAGGACUACCAAUGGCGAAGGCAGAUUACUAAUUAGAGAUUGACAUUGAGGUACGAAAGCGUAGGUAGCAAACAGAAUGUGCGACUUGAUAAAUUUAGAUAAGUAUUCCUGAUGUUUAUCACCUCUUAA
rnacentral:ncRNA from 1 species